rnacentral:rRNA from 1 species
UACGGAGGGAGCUAGCGUUGUUCGGAAUUACUGGGCGUAAAGCGCGCGUAGGCGGCUUUGUAAGUUAGAGGUGAAAGCCCGGGGCUCAACCCCGGAACUGCCUUUAAGACUGCAUCGCUUGAAUCCGGGAGAGGUGAGUGGAAUUCCGAGUGUAGAGGUGAAAUUCGUAGAUAUUCGGAAGAACACCAGUGGCGAAGGCGGCUCACUGGACCGGUAUUGACGCUGAGGUGCGAAAAGCGUGGGGGAGCAAACAGG